rnacentral:snRNA from 1 species
CCACAGAACCAACAGAUUCGUUCCUUGG